rnacentral:misc_RNA from 1 species
AGCAGCCGCGGUAAUUCCAGCUCCAAUAGCGUAUAUUAAAGUUGUUGCAGUUAAAAAGCUCGUAGUUGAAUUUCGGGAUCAAUAUGUUGGUCGUGCCUCGGUACGUACUAGCAUAUUGGUUUCUCCUUUCUGAAGAACCAUGAUGUCAUUUAUUUGGUGUCGUGGGGAAUCAGGACUGUUACUUUGAAAAAUUAGAGUGUUUAAAGCAGGCUCACGCUUGAAUACAUCAGCAUGGAAUAAUGAAAUAGGACGUUUGAUUCUAUUUUGUUGGUUUCUAGGAUCGACGUAAUGAUUAAUAGGGAUAGUUGGGGGCAUUAGUAUUCAAUUGUCAGAGGUGAAAUUCUUGGAUUUAUUGAAGACUAACUACUGCGAAAGCAUUUGCCAAGGAUGUUUUCAUUAAUCAAGAACGAAAGUUAGGGGAUCGAAGACGAUCAGAUACCGUCGUAGUCUUAACCAUAAACUAUGCCGACUAGGGAUCGGAUGAUGUUAAUUUUUAAUGUA